AGCAGCCGCGGUAAUUCCAGCUCCAAUAGCGUAUAUUAAAGUUGUUGCAGUUAAAAAGCUCGUAGUUGAAUUUCGGGAUUGACGUGAUGGUCGUGCCUUAAGGGGUAUGAACUGUCGCUGUUGAUUUCUCACCUUCUGGAGAAACUUGAUGUCCUUAAUUGGGUGUCUUGCGGAUCCAGGACCUUUAACCUUGAAAAAAUUAGAGUGUUUAAAGCAGGCAUUUUUGCUCGAAUACAUUAGCAUGGAAUGAUAGAAUAGGACGGCAUGGUUCUAUUUUGUUGGUUUCUAGGAUCACCGUAAUGAUUAAUAGGGAUAGUUGGGGGCAUUAGUAUUCAAUUGUCAGAGGUGAAAUUCUUGGAUUUAUUGAAGACUAAACUACUGCGAAAGCAUUUGCCAAGGAUGUUUUCAUUAAUCAAGAACGAAAGUUAGGGGAUCGAAGACGAUCAGAUA
rnacentral:rRNA from 1 species